rnacentral:rRNA from 1 species
UACGUAGGGUGCAAGCGUUGUCCGGAAUUAUUGGGCGUAAAGAGCUCGUAGGCGGCCAGUUGCGUCCGCUGUGAAAUCCCGGGGCUUAACCCCGGGCGUGCAGUGGAUACGGGCUGGCUGGAGGCAGGCAGGGGGAGAACGGAAUUCCCGGUGUAGCGGUGAAAUGCGCAGAUAUCGGGAGGAACACCGGUGGCGAAGGCGGUUCUCUGGGCCUGUACUGACGCUGAGGAGCGAAAGCGUGGGGAGCGAACAGG